rnacentral:rRNA from 1 species
GGCCCAGAUCGUUUACCGGAAAAAAUUAGAGUGUAAAGCAGGCAGAUCCAAUUUCUCCCCGAAUGCAUUAGCAGGAAGGAAUAGGCCCGUCCUCUAUUUUCAUUUGGUUUUGUAGCGAGAGGAUAGGGUAAUGAUUAAUAGGGAUAGUGGGGGCAUUAAUAUUUAAUUGUCUGAGUGAAAUUCUUUGAUUUAUGAAAGAUUAAUUUUGGGAAAGCAUUGCCAAGGAUGUUUUCAUUAAUCAAGAAGAAAGUAGGUGAUGAAGAAGAUCAGAUACCCCCAAGUUUAACCAUAAACAAUCCGACCAGCGAGAGGCACGUGAAUACAAAACACCACCAUCGGCGGUCGUCCUUGGCGUCUGGUCCUUCACGGGGCCGCGCGCGGGGGGGCUAGCCCCCGGACCCCA